AGGAUGGUGCUGGGGCAGAUGGAGUGAGAGUGACUUUCAAGCUCACUUAAAUAUGGGAGUUCUUAUAUGUCUGACAAACUCUUGAUGUCCUGAGUGCAAAAUAUCUAGGGAGAAAAGAGAGUAUAUGUCCCUCAUGAGAAUAUUUCUUCAGCAUCAAAAUUGAGUAACGUUUACUUCCUGGCAACAGAAUUUUAUGUCCCAGACAGGAUCUAUGCAGAAGAGGAGACACAUUUCAAGAGCCAGAGGUUAUGUAUGACUCAAAAGAAAAAAAAAUGUCUUCCAAACACAACAGGACUGUUGCAUAUAUAAACUCACAGAGACUGUGGCAGCAUGUCAAAGUUCCACAAAGAUUCAAGCUAGAGGGGAGGCUGAUCAUAGACGCCCUACACCCAGCUAAGAGGCUAUCUGCAUUGAUGUCCACUGGUAAGACAGAAAUUAGU
rnacentral:lncRNA from 1 species